rnacentral:rRNA from 1 species
GAUGAACGCUGGCGGCGUGCCUAAUACAUGCAAGUCGAGCGAACAGACGAGGAGCUUGCUCCUCUGACGUUAGCGGCGGACGGGUGAGUAACACGUGGAUAACCUACCUAUAAGACUGGGAUAACUUCGGGAAACCGGAGCUAAUACCGGAUAAUAUAUUGAACCGCAUGGUUCAAUAGUGAAAGACGGUUUUGCUGUCACUUCUAGAUGGAUCCGCGCCGCAUUAGCUAGUUGGUAAGGUAACGGCUUACCAAGGCAACGAUGCGUAGCCGACCUGAGAGGGUGAUCGGCCACACUGGAACUGAGACACGGUCCAGACUCCUACGGGAGGCAGCAGUAGGGAAUCUUCCGCAAAGGGCGAAAGCCUGACGGAGCAACGCCGCGUGAGUGAUGAAGGUCUUCGGAUCGUAAAACUCUGUUAUUAGGGAAGAACAAAUGUGUAAGUAACUAUGCACGUCUUGACGGUACCUAAUCAGAAAGCCACGGCUAACUACGUG